CAGUCGCCGCGGUAAUAUGGAGGGUGCAAGCGUUAAUCGGAAUUACUGGGCGUAAAGCGCACGCAGGCGGUCUGUCAAGUCAGAUGUGAAAUCCCCGGGCUUAACCUGGGAACUGCAUUUGAAACUGGCAGGCUAGAGUCUUGUAGAGGGGGGUAGAAUUCCAGGUGUAGCGGUGAAAUGCGUAGAGAUCUGGAGGAAUACCGGUGGCGAAGGCGGCCCCCUGGACAAAGACUGACGCUCAGGUGCGAAAGCGUGGGGAGCAAACAGGAUUAGAUACCCCUGUAGUCCCUGUCUCUUAUAC
rnacentral:rRNA from 1 species